AUGGGACGCUGGGGCGCACUCACGUUCAGCGCGUUCUUGGCCGCCUCGGCCUCGGAGCGGCUGUCGAAGCUGACGAAGCCCACGGGCUGCGGAGGAAGGAGAGAGGGGGAGAUGUCAGGACGAUGGGGAGCAGCGCAGGGUCCCCCCAACACCCCGGGGACACAUAGAGGGUGGCAGCGCAGCAUGGGGUGUGGAUGCCCCAGGGUGCUCAACCCCUGUUUUGAGCGGCUCCUACCUGCUUGGAGGUGAGUUUGAUGAGAGAACCUUCGUACCCCUGUAAGGAAAGAAUAAAAAUAGGGCUUUUUGGUGGAGACCUCUGCGAUUUGGCUGCCCCUCCGUGGAGGGAAACCUCCCGCACCCAUCAGCCGGCUUUGCUCGCCAAGGCUCAGCACCGGCUUGGGGAGCUUUGCGGGAUUGCCGCUGGAUUUUUGCAGGGGUGCUGGAUUCCUGAAUAGUAAUCUCCUUCGUCUUUGGAAAGCACUGUUGUCUGAGCUCCAGAUCUGGCAGGGUCAAGAGACCCGCAAGGUUUGCAGUCACCUUGUGCUGUUAAACGGGGUUCAAGUCAACGUGCAGUUAAAACCCCAGCGCAAUCAGAGCACCCGAUGGCAUUUGUCAGUGUUUUACCGGGUGCAGUAAGUUGUUUCAGCGAAUAAAAUGACCCAAUUAUUUGGGAAACCAGCAGGCGCUCACAGAUCCCACCUGUGUCAGUGGGGAUGGGGCAGGGGCUCAGGGCAGCCCGGUGCUUCCAGACCCCCCAACCCCAAUUUGGUACCUUAAAGGGCCUAAAGAGCAGGUAAAGUUCCCGGGGCUUGAUGUCCAGGGGCAACCCACUGACAAAGAGCGUCCUCACCUGGAAAAGAAGAAAAGAGGUUCCUGGAGACCCUCCCUCCUCCCUGUCUUUGGGAUAACCCCAUUUCCACUGGCCCUGGGGUGACAGCGGUGGCCAGGAGGGGCACAGGGAUGAAGAGGAACAAACCAGAUCUUGCCACCACCAGAAUCCAGGAGCCCUCCACUGUCAUCCCUGUCUGACCUAGGAAACUGUGCUUUUGCCCACAGAAAUUGGCCGGGCAGCCGCGAUCUACCGGCGUGAUAAUCCCCUUACCGGCCCAGGAAGGUCAGAUAAGAUAUCUGUGCCCCUCAUCUCCCAGCAAACAUUCCUGCUUUGUGUAACAAAACCUCUGGCUGACCUAUAGCUCUUAAAUAACAAAAGGUGCUCUGGCUGCUCCCAUAGAGCCCUUAUGGCAACAUGAUGCUGAUACCCAUCGCUGCUGGGUCCCCAUGGCUGGGAGAACAAGAGAUCCUGCGUGAUGGAGAGAAAACCUGAGAUCGGGAGAAAACCAGAGAUCGGGAGAGAAUCCGAGAUCAGGAGAAAAUCCAAGAUCUGGGGAUGGUGGAGAGAAAACCUGAGAUCAGAGGGUGAUGGAGCAUCCCCUGGCAUUCAGUGCUGCACCGUCUCCUGAUGGACACACUGCCUGAAUUUCCCUGCGCAGGGAUUCAUCCAGAGGAGCUUCCCUCAUAUCCAUUAAAUGUAAUGUAUAGAAGGUAAAUUUACCCUUUCCAAGGGAAAAAUAUAUAUCUAUCCCAUUUCAGAGAGGUGCAGCUGCCCUCCUGGCUGGGUUUUCCUCCCGAGGA